rnacentral:rRNA from 1 species
AGAGUUUGAUCAUGGCUCAGGACGAACGCUGGCGGCGUGCCUAAUACAUGCAAGUCGAGCGGACUUUUUAAAAGCUUGCUUUUAAAAAGUUAGCGGCGGACGGGUGAGUAACACGUGGGCAACCUGCCCUGUAGACUGGGAUAACUUCGGGAAACCGAAGCUAAUACCGGAUAAUCGAUGGAAGCUCCUGCUUCCAUUGUAAAAGUUGGGAUACUAACACUACAGGAUGGGCCCGCGGCGCAUUAGCUAGUUGGUAAGGUAACGGCUUACCAAGGCGACGAUGCGUAGCCGACCUGAGAGGGUGAUCGGCCACACUGGGACUGAGACACGGCCCAGACUCCUACGGGAGGCAGCAGUAGGGAAUCUUCCGCAAUGGACGAAAGUCUGACGGAGCAACGCCGCGUGAGCGAUGAAGGCCUUCGGGUCGUAAAGCUCUGUUGUUAGGGAAGAACAAGUACCGUUCAAAUAGGGCGGUACCUUGACGGUACCUAACCAGAAAGCCACGGCUAACUACGUGCCAGCAGCCGCGGUAAUACGUAGGUGGCAAGCGUUGUCCGGAAUUAUUG